rnacentral:misc_RNA from 1 species
GACCGUCACCGAAGACCGCAGUCCCCGCGCUCACGCUCACAUAUACGCAUCUGUGCACCGCGUAUAUCAUACUAUAUCGAGUCGUCGUUGUGAUUUUUUUAAGUAUUAAUAUUAUUACAUAUUUUUGUGUUGUACAAAAUCGUUUUUAACAAUCGCCGUAUUGUUUAUUUGUCCUGUUUUUCCAAUUCAUCGAAGUGAGUGAUUUUUUACGGAUUUACUGUAUCUACAGUGAUUGCGCUGAUUUCACAUCGUCGUCGCUGCCGCUACCUUUGUCAAACAUAAUAUACAGCAUGAAUAUACCAGUAUAAAAUAUAUAAUUUUUUAAGUUACGAAGGUACAACGUUCCAGCGGUUUUUUGGUUUUGAUAUUUAAAUCGCGAGUUUAUCUUCGUAUUACUGUAAUAUAUUAUAGGUACGCAGUGGUUGUUGUGCGUGCUUGUUGGAACUGUUUUUGAUCUAUACGCGAUAUUAUAAAUAAAUGUGUCGGGCGCGCGUCGAGUGCGGACUAUGAGCUGCACAGAGGUUAUGUAUCAGGCGUAUUAUCCGUAUCUGUACCAGAGGUCUUCGAGCACGACCGCUCCGCCUACUAGGGCGCCGCAUCAUCACUUCGCGCCGUUCACUCACCAAUAUGAUCGGUUAAGAGCAUUGGAAACUCACCAACAAGCGUCCACAUCUUCACCGAUUGGCGGCGGAGAUUCACCGGCGAACAGAUGGACAACCAUUGCAGAUCAUACCGACUCACAUCACAGCAGCGUCGGAUCCGGAGCAUCCAGUGUGGGCCCUGUUGGUGGCAUUGCCAGCCCUGCAUCCUCUCCGGCCACUGCCAAUAGUGUUUCGGUGGUACACAAAGAAGAAGACACAUCCAGAGACGAUGUUCGCACUGAAAUGGAUGAGGACGAGGACAACGUGCAGGACGACUCAAGAACGCGUGGGGAUAGGCGUGCCGCCGCACACGCGCAAUACGUGUCUGUAAAUUGCGUGGUGUUCACCCACUAUACCGGUGACGUUGCCAACGUGGUAGAUGAACACUUUUCCAGGGCGUUGAACAGCGAUCAAAAACUCAACAACGCCCAUCAAACGUCGACCAAAGAUACUUCCCCUAUGUCUUCCAGAAACUUCCCAGCGUCGUUUUGGAAUAGUAAUUAUCACUCACAUCACUCCACUAGUCAAGUGUACCAUCCCGACACAAUGUACCAUCAUCAUGGUACUGCUGGUAACCCCGCAGAUCCAUGGCAGACACAUUACCAACAAUAUACAGCUGCUGCAGCUCAUCACCAUCACAGGGCCGUGCACGAAUACCAUCAUCACCAUAACAUGGCCGCCCAGUACGGCAGCCUACUACUACCGCCACCGACUUCGAGACUGGCGCCACCACCGCCACCGCCACCUCCACCAUCUAGUCACCCACAUCCACACCAGUAUCACGGUAAAGCUGGCAUGGAACCGUGGCCCAAUAGCGCCCAUCAUCCGGCCUUGGAUACUGGCACGUCUUACUCGUCAUAUCCCACUGUUCCAGGUCUAGAAGCUCAAGUACAAGAGACUUCCAAAGAUCUAUAUUGGUUUUAAAUGUUUUGACGAGAAUGUUUAUUAAAUUUCGGUAAAACAUCAUUCUUCCGUUGUUAAUAUUGAAUAAGUGGUUUUUACGUAUAUAUAAUGUAGUAAUAGCUUAGGUACUCAACAGUUAACACUUCAGCGAAUGUGGAAGCACCAUUCUAUGUUAUUGAACACCUACAAUAAUUUAUUAGUUUGAAUUACAAAAUUAGGAGGGCAAUCACAAAACUGAUGACUGUAGGAGACACUCAGUAUAAAGGUAAACAAAUAUAUAGAUUAAAAUAUAUAUAUUCGUAUCCUAAUAAUCUAUACUCAUAAUAUAACAGUGUUAUGUAAAAUAAUAACUAUAGUAAUUCUAA